rnacentral:rRNA from 1 species
GUGAACGCUGGCGGCAGGCCUAACACAUGCAAGUCGAGCGGCAGCGCAGCAGUAGCAAUACUGUGGGCGGCGAGCGGCGGACGGGUGAGGAAUACAUCGGAAUUUACCCAAUCGUGGGGGAUAACGUAGGGAAACUUACGCUAAUACCGCAUGAACUGGAGACAGCAAAGCGGCGGACCGAAAGGCGUCGCGCGGUUGGAUGAGCCGAUGUCGGAUUAGCUAGUUGGCGGGGUAAAGGCCCACCAAGGCGACGAUCCGUAGCUGGUCUGAGAGGAUGAUCAGCCACACUGGAACUGAGACACGGUCCAGACUCCUACGGGAGGCAGCAGUGGGGAAUAUUGGACAAUGGGCGCAAGG